AGGUAAUUCCUGCCCAGUGACUAAUAAGUUCAACGGCCGCGGUAUCCUAACCGUGCAAAGGUAGCAUAAUCACUUGCCCAUUAAUUGUGGGCUAGAAUGAAAGGACUAACGAAAUAAAUACUGUCUCUAUAAGCAACAUAAAAAUUAAUCUCUAACUGAAGAGUGUUAGAUAAAAUCCAAGGACAAGAAGACCCUAUAGAGCUUUAUUUAAUAAAAGUAUCUUAACUUUUUAUAAUUCGGUUGGGGCGACCAGGGAAACUAUAAAUCAUCCCUCAUUAUCAAAUAAAUAAAUCUCUUCUAUGACCCUUGAAAAAAAUCACAAAAUCAAGCUACCUUAGGGAUAACAGGCUAAUCCUAUUAAAGAGUCCUUAUCGAUAAUAGGGUUUGGCACCUCCAUGUUGGCUUAGGGAAUCUAUGUGGCGCAAAAGUCACAUAAAGAUGGUUUGUUCAACCAAUAACACCCUACGUGAU
rnacentral:rRNA from 1 species